GAGCUUGAUCCUGGCUCAGGAUGAACGCUGGCGGCGUGCCUAACACAUGCAAGUCGAACGGGGAUAUAUUGGAAUGAGGAUUCGUCUGAAGGAAAAUGUAUCUUAGUGGCGGACGGGUGAGUAACGCGUGGGCAACCUACCGUAUACAGGGGGAUAACACUUAGAAAUAGGUGCUAAUACCGCAUAAGCGCACAGCAGUGCAUACUGGAGUGUGAAAAGCCGAGACGGUAUACGAUGGGCCCGCGUCUGAUUAGCCAGUUGGCAGGGUAACGGCCUACCAAAGCGACGAUCAGUAGCCGGCCUGAGAGGGCGGACGGCCACAUUGGGACUGAGACACGGCCCAGACUCCUACGGGAGGCAGCAGUGGGGGAUAUUGCACAAUGGGGGGAACCCUGAUGCAGCGACGCCGCGUGAGUGAAGAAGUAAUUCGUUAUGUAAAGCUCUAUCAGCAGGGAAGAAUAAAUGACGGUACCUGAGUAAGAAGCCCCGGCUAACUACGUGCCAGCAGCCGCGGUAAUACGUAGGGGGCAAGCGUUAUCCGGAUUUACUGGGUGUAAAGGGAGCGUAGACGGCGAUGCAAGCCAGAUGUGAAAGCCCGCGGCUCAACUGCGGUAGUGCAUUUGGAACUGUAUGGCUGGAGUGCAGGAGAGGCAGGCGGAAUUCCUAGUGUAGCGGUGAAAUGCG
rnacentral:rRNA from 1 species